rnacentral:lncRNA from 1 species
UUACAUGUUUCAUGUUACUGGAACUGCUAUUCAUUACUACUAGUAUAAGUUUCAUGUUAUGCUAUGCAUUACUGACUAUAGCCUCUUUUUUUUCUUUCUAAUUACCAUUAUUCCCUUUUUCUAAUAUAAUGUAGUCACAUGUCAAAUUUUAUUACAUUAGUUACAUCAUUUUAUUCAGAUUAAUAUGUCACAUGUCAUAUUUAGAUUGGUUACUAGAUUGAAUGUUAGAAAAUGAUUAUGUGAAAUACUCCCUGUAAAAAUC